UACAGAGGUCGCAAGCGUUGUUCGGAUUCAUUGGGCGUAAAGGGUGCGUAGGCGGCGCGGUAAGUCGGGUGUGAAAUCUCGGGGCUUAACUCCGAAACUGCAUUCGAUACUGCCGUGCUUGAGGACUGGAGAGGAGACUGGAAUUUACGGUGUAGCGGUGAAAUGCGUAGAUAUCGUAAGGAAGACCAGUGGCGAAGGCGGGUCUCUGGACAGUUCCUGACGCUGAGGCACGAAGGCCAGGGGAGCAAACGGG
rnacentral:rRNA from 1 species